UAGCUGAUGGAAAUCGAGAUAACGAUGGUAAAGGAGAAUAAAACUCAAAGACUGUUGGUCCUCAGAUGGAUAUGUUCCCAUAUGUGUCUUAGGACGAAAGAUGGAUCUCUAUUCAAGGAGAUCCUGGAUAACUGGUCUAGGUCGGAAGAUGUUCAGUCAUAACGGUCUCUGGAUCGCUUCUUUGUGUUUCAUGGUGAGCAGAUUCCAAUUCUGUCAUACGUGUAUCUGAGAGUGAAGGAGAUAUGAGCAGAACUGGACAGAGAACGGUCUCUGACAAACAAAAAGGAGAUAUGUCUAACGGGGAGUGCAGACCAUCACUAGAUGGAGAUUAGACCCCGAAUGGUCAAUUUGCAACUCAUAGUGGUGACCAAGACUGUCCUGAGUCUGGUGAGCUACGUUGGUCAAAGAAAUGCUCUGUGGCCGCAUAUACAAAUUUAGAUGAAAACAAGAUUAUUUGGAAAAAAAAGGAGGAGGCUUUGAUCCUUACACUGAUUUCAGUUGUGCGAACAUUGCUUCUAAGUUCACUGCGAAAAGCACAAGGCAGUGUAGAAGAAGAUGGUGUACAUAUACCUUACGACUAUGAUCCUCUGAAGAAGAUGCACUUCUGUGUGAGGUUAGAUAUUUUUAAUCACAUACGUUUAUAGAGUUGGCACCCGAAGAAGAUGCAUGCUACACCAGUUUCUUAAGUUCAGCUUUCAUUGAGGUUUGAUUAUCUUUUUCCUCGAUGCAUCAUGUUUGUUGUUAUAUUGAUAUCAUCUUGUAGAUGUCUUAGAUUAGAAACACUGAUCUGAGAAGUCUAUUACAGAUGACUCGACCAAUAAAGACUAAAUUUGUGUAAGUAAGAAAAUAUCAGUCCACACCAGAAAUUUGAAGAUGCUAGAGUCUAAGGUAUCUCUAUAAUCUAAUAUCUAAUAUUAUAAUUAAAUUAAUUUCUUCUGAUUUGCAUAUACAUUUAUCAUCCCUAUAAUUGUUCAUAUUGAGCUCUUGCAAAUAUGAAUAUUUUCAGUUGAUUUUUUUUGUUCUGAUGGCUUAAACGAUCAUCUCCAACAAUCCCGUUGUCAUUUAUGUCCUUUCACGUUCUCUUUUCUGUUUUGAAAUUGGUCAUGCAAUUCAAGGUAAUAUCAGUAGUGCUUUAGCUUUGAAGAAUCUUUGGAAAACAUGUUCUCUUAUACUGUGUUAGCAAUUCUUAGUCUACAUUGAUUCAUUAGCUUCUUAUAAAGUUGCUUGGUACUCCAAGAUUGGGACCUUGUUUCUUAAUACUCCAAGAGAAUCCCGGUGUUCAAAUCACAGAUCGGUUUGUGAAAUAUUUGUAGUAGAAUUUGAUGCGAAGAGUCUGAACAAAGGUAGAUUCAGGAAGGGUAUUCUUGCGCACUGCAGGAUUUGUUGAAGAUUGCCUCCACAAAAGCAUAGUUUUAACUACGAUUAUUACAGUUCUUUUUGAGAACGAAAUAUAUGAUUUGGAAAAGUACAUUUUUUUUCUUCAUUGUAUAGCUAUAUGUUUUUUUGGCAUCAGCCAUCAUGAUACAUAUAUAUAGAUACUUUAAUGUUAUCA